CAUCAUAUGGUUUCCAUGUGAAUUGUUUGUUCGAUCGACCUCAUUCACUGGCAGAGUUGGUGUCUUGUGGUGUUCACUCCACUCAUGGGAAUGACGAACGCCACCUUAAAAAGGACACUAAGGUAGGCGGUAAAGAAUCAGCAUUCUCAUGUCUUGUUUUAUUCAGCUAGUUGAAUAGGCAAACCAUAGAAACAUACUGCACACUCGCUCUUUCUCGCUCCAAUGACAUCAAAAAUAGAGAGAAAACACAAGGCAAAUAAUACUCAAACAUCUCUAGCAUAUCAAGGUCUAAAUGGACACCCUGGGAAGGGCCACUGAAAUGCUCACGGCCACAGCAAACAGCAGGAUGAAUAGGCCAGUGAAGUUGAUCAAUCGAGAUUCUGCUCCCGGCGCUGCAUCGAUCUGCACAAAUCCCGUCUCCGCCGUGCACACCGUCAAUAGAAAGAUUGCUAGCCCGGCAGAAACAUGCAAUGGGAGCAGCAAUAUUCUCGUCGGCUCCGACGCUUUCAGAAACCAGAAGUUCACGAACCCGAACAGCCACUGCAAGCAAACGAGAACGAGAGACUUCUUCCUUGUUACUAAUCUCGAACGAGAGAGAGAGAUGAGUUGCAAUGGAGGAAGGAAGAAGAACCUGCAAGCCGAAUAAGCAGAUGGUGCACAUGCCCAACCAGGAAUGCAAGCUUAACAUGUCGGGCAUGGUGUUGGCGCUGUGGUACUUGAAGGCAGCAUAGAUGCCAAGGAUUCCGAGGACCAGUGCAACUAGAUGAAGCAUCAGGUGGACAGACUUCUGUGUUUCCUUCCGAGCUGGGAUUGUCUUGUAAGCCAUGAUACCUGCUCAUGACACAUUGCCAUGUCGUAAGUAAUCAAUCAUAUAGGCAUUGUACGUCCAUUACUGACAAGAUCAUGUACCUUCUCCGAUCACCAGAAUGAACCCCAUACACAUCACAAGAGGAUGCACCUGUCAGAAUCACCCAACGAACGAAUCAAAAACGAGGAAGAGGGGUUAUCAGGUUCUCAUACGAUGUGCAACAAAGUAGGGGAACCCUGUACAUUGAAGAUGAGAUUGGGGUCAUCCGAGUGCAGCCUGGCGGCGCCGCCUCGGAAGUGCAGAACCCACGCGAGCACGAGGACGAACACCGUGAGGGCGAGCACAUGGGCGACUUUGGUGACAUGGGCGGCGACCAGGAACGCAGGCUUCACCGUGUUGGGCAUGGCGUCGAGGGGGGCGUUCGUUGCAUGGACUGCGUCGGCAAUGACGAAGCUCCGCCCUCCUCAUUUUUAUAGCUUAAUAGGGAUGGGAAUCUCUUGCUUGCUGCUGUGGUGGCAUUGGGAGUUGGGUUUGGUAUAGAAUGAACACUUUUGUCUUGGGUGGGGAGAGAAGGAACACAAGCAACGCAUCUGUCACCUCUGUUGUGGAAUUAGUAUGCUUGAAUCCUUCGUGAAAUAGCUAUAUAUUGUUCGUAAAGGUUGAGUCCAAUUCAAUCCAAUGUAAAUUUGGUGUGCGUCGAUGGGAUAAUGAUACAGAUCUUAAGAGUAAAGUUGGUGAUGGGGUUUGGCGUCCGGCUCCGAGACGGCGUAUCGUUACGUUAGAUCCCCUUAAUACGACAAAGAGGAGGGCUGACAUUAAUUACGAACAUGUCUCAAACGUGUCCCCUGCUCUGUCUAACUUUCUUAUCUUAUUUUAGAUUCUCUUUAAUGCAAUGUCUCAUACAAUACAUGUAAUAAUAUUGACAUAUGCGUUACUUAAAAAUUAUGACAAAUUAUUCAUACGAAUUCGAAUGAGUCGGAUUUUUCAUGGAGUGGAUGAAUAGGACGACACCAGAAUAAAUCAUAUUAUGUUGACCUAAAUUUCGUUAUUUAGUUUCAAUAAAUCGAGGCCGGAUGGCUGCAGAGCUUGGUCCUCCUAUAGUGAAAUCCUGGCCAUUGAUUUGAGAUCAUCGUGUCUCGAUCAAUUUGAUCUGGUUGUGAUAAUGCAGAGCUUGAUCAUCCUAUAGUGAAAUCCUGCCCAUUGAUUUGAGAUCAUCCAGUCUUGAUCAACUUUGAUCUGGCUGUGAUAAUUACGCCACGUAACGUGACGGGGCACAUUCAGUGGAGGCCGAUGAACAGCGCGCCGAACGCCCAAAAAUGGCAACCGUCACGUUGAUGGCGACGCAAAAAGAAUCCAUCGGGCAAAAGCCCGUUCCGUCCGCACAAAUCCCGGGGGCCCCACCACCCUUACCCUUGAAGUGCUAAUCCCUACUNNNNNNNNNNNNNNNNNNNNNNNNNNNNNNNNNNNNNNNNNNNNNNNNNNNNNNNNNNNNNNNNNNNNNNNNNNNNNNNNNNNNNNNNNNNNNNNNNNNNNNNNNNNNNNNNNNNNNNNNNNNNNNNNNNNNNNNNNNNNNNNNNNNNNNNNNNNNNNNNNNNNNNNNNNNNNNNNNNNNNNNNNNNNNNNNNNNNNNNNNNNNNNNNNNNNNNNNNNNNNNNNNNNNNNNNNNNNNNNNNNNNNNNNNNNNNNNNNNNNNNNNNNNNNNNNNNNNNNNNNNNNNNNNNNNNNNNNNNNNNNNNNNNNNNNNNNNNNNNNNNNNNNNNNNNNNNNNNNNNNNNNNNNNNNNNNNNNNNNNNNNNNNNNNNNNNNNNNNNNNNNNNNNNNNNNNNNNNNNNNNNNNNNNNNNNNNNNNNNNNNNNNNNNNNNNNNNNNNNNNNNNNNNNNNNNNNNNNNNNNNNNNNNNNNNNNNNNNNNNNNNNNNNNNNNNNNNNNNNNNNNNNNNNNNNNNNNNNNNNNNNNNNNNNNNNNNNNNNNNNNNNNNNNNNNNNNNNNNNNNNNNNNNNNNNNNNNNNNNNNNNNNNNNNNNNNNNNNNNNNNNNNNNNNNNNNNNNNNNNNNNNNNNNNNNNNNNNNNNNNNNNNNNNNNNNNNNNNNNNNNNNNNNNNNNNNNNNNNNNNNNNNNNNNNNNNNNNNNNNNNNNNNNUCUCUCUCUCUCUCUCUCUCUCUCUCUCAUGGCCUAUAUGCUCUUCUCUUCUCUCAAACCCUAGAACUUGGGACUAAUCAUGGCCGAUCCCUCCCCCCGCCGAUCCGCCGAGCUCCUCCUCGCGGCGGCGGCGGCGGCCAACGUCCUGCUGCUGCUUCUCCUCGCCAGUGCCGCCCCCUGGGCCACGGCCGACACCGACCCCGGCGACCUCGCCGCAAUGCUGGCCGUUGCCAACGCCCUCGGCGCCGACCGGGCCCUCGACUGGUCCCCCUCCGCCGACCCCUGUUCCGACUGGGCCGGCGUCGCCUGUUCCGGAGGCCGUGUCACCACCAUCCAGGUCGGUAAUCGCAACCUUGCCGGCUCACUCCCCGCCGACGUCCGGAACCUUACCUCCCUUUCACGGUUGGAGCUCCAAAACAACCGCUUAUCCGGGCCUCUCCCUUCCCUCGCCGGCCUCUCCUCCCUGCAGAGCCUCCUCCUCCACCACAACCUCUUCUCCUCCAUCCCCCCUGACUUCUUCUCUGGUCUCUCCUCCCUCCAGUCCGCCUACCUCGACGAGAACCCCUUCGCGCCCUGGCCCCUCCCCGCCACCCUCAGCGAUGCCACCGCCCUCGUCAACUUCUCCGCCAACGCCGCCAACGUCUCCGGCCCUCUCCCGGACUUCCUGGCCACCUCCUUCCCCGGCCUCGACCACCUUGGCCUGGCCUUCAACCUGCUCUCCGGUCCCGUUCCGUCGGCCUUCGCGGUCGCUCCCUUCCGAUCGCUCUGGCUGAACAACCAGCGGGGCCGCAGCCGCCUCUCCGGCGGGAUCGACUUCGUCGAGAACAUGACCGCUCUCGAGGAGCUCUGGCUGCACUCCAACGAAUUCUCUGGGCCGCUCCCGGACUUCUCCGGCCACACUAGCUUGCGCGAUCUCCAGCUCCGGGAUAACCAGCUCACCGGCGUCGUGCCCUACUCCUUGACCGAGCUCAAGUCGCUCUCCAAGGUCACGCUCACCAAUAACUUGCUUCAGGGUCCGGUGCCGAUCUUCCCGGAUUCGGCGACAGUAGACCUUGUCCCUCAAAGCGAGAGUUUUUGUCUGAACACGGCAGGGGAGUGUGACCACCGAGUCACUAUCUUGCUAUCCAUCGCCAAAAGUUUCCGCUACCCAAGUGGGUUCGCCGAAAACUGGAAAGGAAACAACCCGUGCGGGUGGCUGGGGAUCAGCUGCGACGCCGGUGGCAACAUCACUGUGAUUAAUUUCUCAAGGAUGGACCUCAAUGGGACAAUCUCGCCGGAUUUCAGUUUGUUCACCACAUUGCAGAGGAUGAUGCUUUCAAAUAAUAACCUCACCGGGACGAUCCCGUCCACGCUUACCAAUUUGACAUCGCUGAAGGAAUUGGACGUCUCCAACAACUCUCUACGGGGUCAAGUUCCAAGCUUUAGCCAGAAUGUAUUACUGAAGACUGAUGGGAAUGUGAAUAUGGGGAAGCCUGCCAUUGCUCCGCCAGGUUCUGACUCUGAUUCUGCUCAUAAUGGUAGUGAUUCAAAUCCAGCAGGUUCUGUUGAUGGGAGCAGCGGCAGCAGUGGGAAGUCUUCUUCUGGUUCCAUAAGUGUUAUUGUGGGUUUAGUGGUCGCAGGGGUCUUCAGUGUCAGCCUUGCUGGACUAUUGGGUUUCUGCUAUUACAAGAGAAAGUUGCAGAAUUCUGGUAGGGUUCAGAGUCCGAACACUACAGUGAUACACCCACGGCUUUCGGGGUCCGACCAGGAUAUGGUGAAGAUCACGGUCGUGGGUUCAAGCAUGAAUGGUGGCAUGGCCGCUAGCGAAUCUUACAGUCGAACAAGUAGUGGCCCAAGUGAUGUUCAUGUAAUUGAUGCAGGGAAUAUGGUGAUCUCUAUUCAAGUUCUUAGGAAUGUGACCAACAAUUUUAGCGAAGAGAACAUUCUGGGGCGUGGUGGUUUUGGUACAGUCUACAAGGGUGAGCUCCACGAUGGCACAAAGAUUGCAGUCAAGAGGAUGGAGGCAAGCAUCAUCGGAACAAAGGGCCUGAAUGAAUUCAAAUCUGAGAUUGCAGUGCUUACCAAGGUCAGGCAUCGGAAUUUGGUCUCCCUUUUGGGUUAUUGCUUAGAUGGGAACGAGAGGCUCUUGGUCUACGAGUACAUGCCUCAGGGGACACUGAGUCGCCAUCUUCUAGACUGGAAGGAGGAAGGAUUGAAGCCUUUGGAAUGGAAGAAAAGGCUAAGCAUAGCACUGGAUGUGGCGAGGGGUGUGGAAUAUCUACACAAUUUGGCACAUCAGAGCUUCAUCCACAGGGAUCUCAAACCUUCUAACAUCCUCCUUGGGGAUGACAUGAAAGCUAAAGUUGCAGAUUUUGGUCUUGUCCGACUUGCACCAGAUGGAAAAGGUUGUUCUGUUGAAACAAGGCUAGCUGGUACCUUUGGUUAUCUUGCUCCAGAGUAUGCUGGUAAUUCUCAAAACUAUCACUUAGCUGCUAUACUGCAUCAUGCAACUAAGAUACACAUGUGAUCAAUUAUGCAAUCUGUUUGAUACAACCCUCUAAGCUCUUAAAAGAAUUUCUUAUAGUCCUACCUACAACCCUCAGGUCCUGAUUCAGUAGUUCAAUGUCCUGAAAUAUCUCAUCAAUGUUUUAGUGCUAACUCCUAAUACUAAAGACUUACAGUCUCUGUUUGUUUAUUUAUAUUGAUCUAGACACCUGUAUACUUGCAGGCAUUAGUUGACACUGUAUGAAUGUCCUGAAUAAUGUAGCAAUUGGUCACUUAUCCAAAUUAUGUAGUUUUACAAAAACAUGGUUAAGAAAGAAAUGCUUCUUUGGGAUAAAGAGAUAGUUCUAUUAAAUUCUGAUGGUAGCAAAAUUUGAACAUGAUUAUAGAUUAUUAAGAAAUAUGGCAAUAUAAUAAGCAUCUUGUAGUAAGCUGGAACACAUAAGAUGACUUUGACGUUAUUGUUAUCAUUUAACUUAUUGUUGACUGCAUGUCUAACUUGCAUAGUGUACUGAAAUUCUUGAAUUUGUUUGCACUGUUUGAUGAUGAAUUAGUUCUCUCUUUGAUUUUGCGAUUAAACUUCUGUCUUUGCUACUGUAUUUGAAUCAGAUGCUGUCUUUGAUAAUUUUGAGAUGCAAGGUUUGAGGGGAAAUAUAGGAAUCAUUUUCACUGAAAGAUAUUUAUAAAUUUUACAAACAAAAAGAGAGAAUAGUGCAAGACUAGAGAAUCAUUUUCCAUGAGAUGAUGGUCUUGGCAACAGAUGCACAUUAUGGAUGAACAAUCCACAGUUUAAUAUAUUUGUUUGACAUAUGGGUCAUAUGCAAAUGGUACUUUCUUACUAUAAGUAACAUUUAAGGGGCUCUCGAUGAUCAAAGAAGAGAAAUAGAGGGAGAUUUGUGUUUCUGGAGUUUUACUUUUACCAUCAAUUCAAUUACAACGAUUAGAUUGGUUUUAUUAGCAAAUCGUCUGAUCUUUCAUGAGGUUUACGAUUACGUCUAGCCUGUCUCGAUCGGGAUUGGUUAGUUUUUGAAAUGCAUAAUUGAAUGUUUGUUUUGUUGUUGUAAUCUUUUAAUUUUUUGUCAAUUAUCUUUCUAUUAACUUCAAUUUUCCAUUCAAAGAUUCACAAGCUCAUCAACAUAAGAAGCUUUGUGACAUGCUGAAGCAUCUAUCAAUUAUCUGUAAAUUUUUGCAGUUACUGGUCGAGUCACCACAAAGGCUGAUGUGUUUAGCUUUGGAGUGAUACUGAUGGAGCUGAUCACUGGUCGGAAAGCGCUCGAUGAGAGCCAACCAGAGGAGUCUGUGCACUUGGUUACAUGGUUCCGGAGGAUGCAGCUCAACAAGGACACAUUGCCCAAGGCCAUAGACCCAAUGAUUGAUCUCGACGAGGAGACCUUUGCAAGCAUGAGCACUGUCGCAGAGCUUGCCGGUCACUGCUGCGCCAGAGAACUAUACCGAAGGCCCGAUAUGGGUCAUGCAGUCAAUGUGCUGUCCUCGCUCGCCGAGCUGUGGAAGCCUUCUGAUCCUGAUUUAGAGGAUAGCUACGGUAUCGACCUCGAUAUGUCACUUCCUCAAGCACUGAAGAAAUGGCAGGCAUUCGAUGACAGCAGCCACUUCGACGGAGCCACAUCGUCUUUCCUCGCGAGCGUAGACAACACCCAGACCAGCAUACCGACGAGACCGCCAGGCUUUGCAGAUUCCUUUACCUCUGCUGAUGGAAGAUGAAUUGAGAACGAUGCAGUUCUCAUCUGUGAUUAUUCAUGUUUAUGGUUUGGCUUUGCUUUUGCUUCCUGCUUUCCGUCCGUUUCUUUUGAUUUGCCACUAUCUGUAGUUGAUUCUCUCAGACAUUUCUCCGAUCACUUCCUGUGCUAGUUCUGCAUCAGAAUUGCAACUUGCUAAAUCACCUGCCUUAUUUCUUCUAUCAAUCGCAUAUUGUCUACAAGAAACACCAUUGUAGAUGUUAACAGCUGCCUCUUAAGGAUUCAGAGAAUGAACAGGAAGACACGCGGCAGCGCACUCCACGGAAGAUGCACUGCAUCACGCGACGCUGCCGUGGUGGAGGCGGCGCGGAACGCGGAGGCAGGCCAAAAGGCAAAGGCAUGAACGAGUAGUAACAGCGGCAAAUAGGAAAUAAGGCAAGCGAAGACUGCUGUAAUCGUUAAAACUGUAGUCUGUAAUUGCUUAUCAAAUGGCACCAUUGUGAUGCGUCAGUGCCUCCUCGUCUCCACGAAACUGCUUCCAUCAAUGUUUGAAGUCGGCGAUAGGUAGCAGUUACCAACAUGGUGGUCUUCUUCUUAAUUAUGUAUAGCUUAUCUAUCACACUUCCGAUCAGAAUUGGUGGGAUCAUAUUCGUGCGGAACCAAUAUAGUUUAUCUUUUAUUUAAAUAAAUUUGAUUAGUUUAGAAAUUCUUUUCCUACAUUAAAAAUUUAUUCAACAAAGAAAAAAAAUUAAAAAAGAAUAAAUCUUUGUUUUUGAUUGAAAUUAUAAAUCCUGAGUGAAAUUUUAUUUUUUAUAAAAAGAAAAGUUUAUAAUAUAAAAAAAAAGAGAUUAUUUUUUUAAAGUCAAAUCAAAAUUAUUUUUUUAGAUCAAAAUAUGAGUGACGUGAGACCACAAAUUGAUUUCGCGUGAGUGGUGCGAAACAUAAUCAUCUUAAAUGAGUUUGAUUGUUAUUUAUUUAUUAUCUUUUUCUUCUACUUUUCUAUCAUCAAACAAACACUUUUGUGCUGCUCGUCCUGCAUCAACUUUUGCUUCGGACAUCAUUUGCCAUCAUCAACUGCUCAUAUGUCGAAGAGAAGAACCACAGCCAGAGAGACGGGCAUCAAAAGAAGUCUCACGAGUGUGUGACACUGGACCCAACUCAUUCUCCAUACUCGAUGAAUCGACAAAGAAUGCACUACAGAUGUAAGAACAGAGAGUACACUCUUGGCAUGGCCGAUGUGCCAUGAAACGUGGACUAGGACGUACUGAAAACGUAGCGAACAGAUGGGGCGGUGGGGGAAUCCCAAUUGAAAACGCCACCGCCCAUGUGAAGUGAUGAUGGAGAAAUAGGAGAGGAUGGCCUCCUCACAUCAAUGCCUCUGUUCUAUGUACGUUCUCUACUGGGUUUUGAGUUGGAUGAGGAGCAAACCAGCUAAGCAAGGAGUGAUGGCCAAGUCUCGUCGUCUAGGUUGGAAACAGAUGUAUGCAUCGAGAAGCACUGCAAAUUUCCAUGUAAUCUCUGUUGACGAGUUCCAGCAUUCAAACACCGGCGUGCCACAAGUCUACCAUCUUGCAUGGAUGGGCUGGAUCUGUCAGUGGGUUCUUAGACGAUUGUAAGUGUCUGCAUAGACAUUUUGACCAUUUAAAGCAGACUAUUUCAUAGAAAAAUAGCUUCUGGAUGACAUGAGUGUCGUGAAAUAAAUGGCUUCAUCUCUCAGCUGAGCUUCCAGAUGCUUGGGAGUUGACUAAGUCAGGUUCUGGGGAGAUUGCAGACGAGCACAAAUAGGGAUAGAUUUGGGGAUCGGAAGCGCCAUAUAUUUCUUAGUGAAGGAACUGAGAUUUUCCUGCUCUCGACGAGAUCCUUCUUCACGCACUUUUUGUAGUUCAUUCUUCCAGAAUUUGAACUUCGCAUUCUCCAUCUGAAUUAGACUUGUAACGUAUGGAUUUCCACCACUGCAACAGGGAAUUUUUCUUUAAAUUAUUAUCUUAAUAUAAGAAUUUUUUUUAUGAGAACAGAACUGUGUUAAUUGUUGAAGGUGAUCUUAAUUUGGCUCCGCUUUCUUUAUACGAAAGAAAAAACCUUUCGUAUGCCUCGGUGCGCAGUUGUUGUCUGCAUACCACCUACGACUGUCUACAACGACGAUAGUACUGAUAUUAUCGACCGGCAACCUCUCCGGUCGUAGUGUGGUGUUGUGCCAUCAUGACCACGCGCGAUUGUGUGCAUGCACAACUCGCACGAUUGUCACAACGCGAUUGCUCUAGUCACCAUAGUCGCCACAAGCACUAAUACUACUACAGCUACUGUAAGGCCGUUGCACCUUAUGGUACUUCAUCGCUGCCCACCAUUAGGCUAGUGACCAUUAGAGGUUAUCAGCCUCAACAAUAUUAUCAUCAAUAAUAAGUUAUCAAAUGUACUUCGAUCAAACACAAAGAACCUCGCAAUCGACCGCAAGCAAUCGAUAAGAUGGACUAAACAAAAAAGUGAUCGUUUAAGUAUCGUAAAUAAAAAUCGAAUAACAUAUUUUCGUAAGUGAAGAGUGCUAAUAAAUAGAUCUAAGAUAUUUAAUUUUUAAAAACAUGACUUUGAUACUAAUUAUAAGCAUAAAAAUCAUGAUUAUGAUAUUAUUAUGUAAAAAAAUUAAUAUCAAAAAUUAAAAUCAAAUAACGAUAGAUCAGAUUUACGAUGCAUACCUUUCGAUAUCAUUUAAAAAUUAUUUAUCUAAAUUAUAAGUGUACCAUCAUCGAAUCCGAAAGCCACAUCGAUGUCGAUAUGUAAAGAGAAUUAACUAGUCUUAUUUUUUUUCUUCCGUUACAGGAUCGUUAUAAAAAAUGGAUUAGAGAUUAUGGGAGAUUGAGAAUAUAUGUAAUCUCAAUUAUUGAUGUAAGAUAAUAAUUAUAAUUAAGAAAAUUCCUCCGUUAUAAUUAAACUUUCUUUUUCUAACAUCAGAAUAUCUGAAUUAUAAUUGAUACUAAACUCAGUUAGCCGGAGUCUCUCAAAUCCUUCAAUUCCACAAGUAAAAUCACAGUUUUUGAUUCUUUGCAACAUGCCUCGCUGAUACCAAAAGAAAGGUGUGAUGAUUUAAAAGCAUGCAUACAUAAAGCAUGAAGACUCCAUUUCAAGUAUUUCUGCAUUAGUCCUUCUCAACAAAGUUUUCUCCGAUACAGUCUGAAGCCACUGAGAUCACCACUAUAUUAAAUUAUAAUUCUUGAGUUGAGGUCAGUCUUCUCGUCUUUAAAUCUUGGAAAGUUAGUCUUAGAAGUAUCACCGGCACCAUUUUGUAGGAGCGUUUGCGAUCUCAUCAAGCCAAUAGAUGCCCUAGUCAAGCUGUCAAAUCUUAUAUCCUCUUCUUCUACUUAGAAUUCAAGAGUUCUAGAUGAAACGUUUAUCUGCCGAAAGAAACUUGACUGUGACAGGUAGCCGCUGUCCCUGCUUGCUAUGUUCUUCAAAUUCAACUAGAGAACUCAAAUCUGCAAUCAAGUCAGAACAAUCACAUGUUUCUCUUUCUUUUUUAAGCUAGUGCAAAGAAAAGGAAGAACAAGUUUCAUAUCAUUCUGCAAGUAAGUUCCAAGCAUGCCUGAACUCAUCUCUGAUUCUCUUACCCCGCGAACGAUUCAGAGUUCUGGAUGGAACAGUUAUCUGCAGAAGAAAUCUGAUUGUGACGUACAGCUGCUGUCACUGCUUGAUUGUGACAUCUUAUAUGUCAAAUCAGCUAUUAUAUAUGCUGCAAAUCAUAUCACAACACACUGCAAAUAAGCUCCAAGGAAUUCCUAACUCAUUUCUGAUUCUUCUAUCUCUUGCAUGCAAUUCAGUGUACCAGAUGAAAUAGUUACCUGUGGAAGAAAUUUGACUGCGACAUAUAGCUCCUGUCGCUGCUUUCUAUGCUCUACAAGUUCAACUACAGAACUCGAAUCUGCAAUUAUAAUCAGAUUACUUAUUUUCCUAUGAGAACAAGUUUCAUAUCAUUCUGCAAGAAAGCUCCAAAGAUGCCUAAAGUAAAGUCAUUUCUGAUUCUCUUUAUCACACUUGCUACAUCAUCCAAUUACUCAAUUUCCUUUUCCCUCAUUUCUGAUUCCUCUGUACACAUUCUGUUAUCAUUAGCUUCAAGUUCAAACUCCUGUAGAACAUAAAACUUUUGGAUUUGGGAAUUUACAUCACAUACAAAUCGUACAGAACCGAACCUGCCGGUUUUGCAGUGUUGAAGUGGUUGGUACAAUUGCAAUGCCCAUCAAAAGUUUGGUCUCAGUUAACGAAAGAGACCAUUUGAUAUUGAUCCAUCUUUUCUUAUUGCCUACUUUUGACCUGUAAAAAGAGUACCGUUACCUGUAACUUUGGUUGAAUUAAACAGCAAGGUUGUGACCGAGAACCAUUUGAUAUAGUACACAUAUUGACUGCUUACUAAUCAACAAAGCUCACUGAAAGAAAGAUAAAGCCUUCUAGUGGACCAGAGGUUGUAGUUGGACGGUUUUCCAUCCUUAUUUUGAUAUCCAAUUGGGUAGAACGGCGAGACAAGAAAUAUUCUUAACUCAUUAUAAAAUAUUAUAUUAAACACGGUAAUCAAUGUCUAUUUGUUAAAAUUACUCUACCUUGUCCGUUACUCAGGAUCAUGUUGAGAAGCUCAUCCGACCUUGGUUUUCAUGUAAUUGGCUAUGGAACGCGCAGCCAAGUCCAUCUUAGCUCAGUCGUGGGUGAGUGUUCGAGCUAUCGUACCGAUCAUUUUAGACUUCUUGUGCACAGAGGUAAGUCUGAAUUGAGUCGAAUUGAUCCGGCCAUCAUUGACAUUUUCCCUAUCAGUAUCUCAAGUUACAUAAGUCAAACAGUAAUCAAGACAAAGCAAAAAAGUGAAAAUUUGGUUUGCUUUGGUUCAACAGUACCUUCCUCUGUUUCAUCAUCAUCAUCAUCAUCUUCUUCUUCUUCUUGUGGUCCUUCAUCAUUUUUGACCACCAAGUAAAGAAGCGCAAAGAGCCAAAAACUUUUCUCACUUGGAACGGCAGAUGAAGCAUUACUCGGAACUGAAAACCUAAGACUUAUGACAGAUAUCAGCAGCAGAUGUUGAAGGAAGCCAGUCAAUGUAAUGCGGCCAAAACUUAGGCAACUGUUGUCACCGCAGGAUUCUCCGAUUUGCGUUGAAGAAGCUGAAACAAAAGGUUGAGCUACGUUGUUUUUACAGCUAUCUUUUACGCCACCUUUUUCUUUUUGUUACUGCAGCUUAAUCAAGCUGGCGAGAAGCUUGAUCGAGCCGGUGGUCAAUCGAGUCGCACUCUCCCAUUUAGUUUAUUGUCUCGUUCAAUCCAUCAGGUAAUUGCACAAAUUUGGCCGCUCUCUCUCUCUCUCUCUCUCUCUCUCUCUCUCUCUCUCUCUCUAUCUCACCGUUUCCUCUCCGCGGGUUAAACAUUCAAACUUCAACGGUCAACGUUCAAAGACAACGCUUUGCGCUUUGAACAAUUCGCUCCUUCGUCUUAGCGAGAUGGAUUUAUAUAGACUCAUCCAUUGCCUUCCCUUCCUUCGACCUCUUCCAUUGCGAAUCUUUCAGCCUCGCACAAAAUCCAAUACACCAAGUUGUGUUCAUGGCCUUGCCAUGGAGAAGCCGUAAAUCAGGCCAGAAGACCAAGCCAGAAAAGAGCGUUUCUCGCACGGAGAUCUCGAUCCCGAUGCACUUCUUGUGCCCGAUAUCGUUGGAGCUGAUGAAGGACCCGGUGACGGCGUCCACGGGGAUCACCUACGACCGGCAGAGCAUCGAGACGUGGCUGGGGCUGGGGAACACGACGUGCCCGGUCACGAACCGGGAGAUGGAGAACGAGGAGCUCAUCCCGAACCAUUCGAUCCGGAAGGUGAUACAGGAUUGGUGCGUCGCCAACCGGUCCCUGGGAGUCGAGAGGAUCCCCACACCUAAGAUUCCCGUGACCGGAUCCCAGGUGGCGGACAUGAUGUCGGAGAUCGGUGAGGCCACCCGGCGUGGCGACCGUGCUCGGUGCGAUCAGUUGGUGGUGAAGGUCAAGAACUUGGCGAGCGAAAGCGAGCGGAACAGAAGGUGCUUCGCGUCGAAUGGCAUGAACGGAGUUCUGGCCGCCACCUUUAACGCAUUUGCCGGUGCAUCUUCCGAGUCGCCGGCGGCUGAGAUUUUGGAGGAAGCCUUGGAGGCAUUGGCGACGCUGUUACCGCUGGGCGAGGAAGCUGCUUCCCGCAUCGGAUCGCCCGAGUCCCUGAAUCGCCUCGUGUCGAUCUUGCAGCAUGGAAGCUGGGCUGCAAGGCUCAAUGCGGCUUUGGUGGUGAAGGAGCUUCUUGCAUCCAACGGAGCGGGAGCAGAUGUCAUCGCCGGGACCAAGGGGCUGGUGGAGGCGUUGGCCAAGCUCGUCGAAGAGCCCAUAUCCCCUCGGGCAGCGAAGGCUUCUCUCGUCUCCAUCUUCUAUAUGAUUAACCGCGACGAGAGGGCCGCGUCAAGAGUAGUCGAUCUGGGGCUGGUGCCUGUGCUCAUAGAGGUCCUUGUCGGCCCCGAGAAGAGCAUGUGCGAGAAAGCACUGGCCGUGCUCGACGUGCUGCUGGGCUGCGGGAGCGGCAGGGAGAAGGCCUACGGCCACGCGCUCACGAUGCCGGUGCUGGCGAAGAAGAUGUUCCGCGUGUCGGACAUGGCCACGGAGUUGGUCGUCUCGGCGCUGUGGAAGCUCUGCAGGGACGACGAAGUGGGGGGAGAAGGGAGAGGGAGAUGCUUGCAGGAUGCCCUACAAGCCGGGGCCUUUCAGAAACUCCUACUUCUACUGCAGGUUGGGUGCGGUGAGGCGACCAAAGAGAGAGCUACCAAUCUUCUCAAACUAUUGAAUGGUUGCAGGGGAAGGGAAGAAUGUGUCGACACCAUGGAUUUCAAGGGACUUAGAAAGCCUUUUUGAGUACCAAAUGGUCGAUAGGUAUAGAGGAAAGAUCAUAACAAAGAGAGCUUUUCUCGUCGUACUUUGUUUCGGUCGGGGGUGUGAUUCAGAUAUAUGUACAAAAACACAGAAGAGUGCUCCUGGUUUGAGGUACACAUACCACCUGUUACAUGUCAAGAAAAGAGAAGAGUGUUUGGUUGUCUUGCUUCUUUUCUUCUGUGCUUGCAAAUUCUAGCUGAGAUUUCAAUAGCGUCUGCAUAUGUUUGAUAGCAAUCCCAGUACAUACAACUCAAUUAUUUUGGUUCUUCUCUCAUAUACAGAUAGAUAUAUGCUCAGCUUAACAUUCACCAUAUGAGACAGAAGAACAUUCAUCAUGAUGAGAACCAUAGAGGUCAAACUUAAUUAAGCAUUCAAAAUUAUCUUAAUACCCAAGCUCAUGACACGCAUUGCAUUAUCUUCAUCGUCACUUCACCAUUGUACUCCUAAGAAAGUGGAUCCAAAAGGUUUGUAGAUGAGAAGCCUUCUACACUCACAACUCACGCUUCUCAUCCAUCCAAAACCAACAAGGGAUCGGACAACGACAUGUCCGUGAUAAAUGCCCUCCGACCAGUAUUCCACGUUGAUCAUGGACUCUCUCUCACUCUCUCUCUCUUCCCUUUUUCCAUGCGUGCGAGUUGGACUUGACCACAUUUUAAAUCAACCCGCGGUCGUCGCUACUGAUUUGAACAGACCGGUGGAAAAAUUGCUGGUGAUCGAUAAUAACGAGCCAGCAUCAUGUGGUGUGUUGAUGGCGGAACUCUGAGGCCACGCAUGGCUGAGAUUUGAUACUUCUCUUGAAGGUCUUCGAUGUCAAAUCUGUCCUCGCCUAGUCAUGUCCUCCCCUCCCAUAGCCCAUAGCCCAUUGAUUGUAAGAGUAAUAUCAGCUCCAAGUGUUUGCCCUUGGAACCAGUCUGCAGACAUCUGAUGGCGAUGCAAGCACCAGCAGCCAAACAUCUCCAUCAGAGCGGGAAAAAGAGGAGCAGGAAUCAAGAUUCAAUACGAUCGACAGAAGAGUGAAAAGAGACAUUGGCACCAAAAUGGAACGUACCUUAUUUGCCAAUCAUCAUCGGCCAUCUGCAGAUAAUUCAACAACCUUGUGCAGUCAGAUGUUUGUUCAUGGAUGGCCUGCACAAGCUAUGAGUUGAUGUGCCCAUUGGCCCAGUAACUUGAGCAGAAUGAACCCCAAACAUUAUCAUAACAUCAACCACCGUUAAUGCAAGACUGCUUAGGCGACAACAAUAGCUCCAAGAGACGCCAUAAAAUUUUUUGGAGGAAUACGGAGUAAAAUAGCAAUAAUAAUUAGAAGAAAAAUCCAUUGUGUAUUGUCUUUUUGGGAAACAAGGAUGCCAGAAGACUAUAACUUGCAACACAUCUUUUGAACAAUAAUAUACAAAUCAAAGACAGAAGACUUAAAUAUUUCUUGCUACUUCACAUGCUAGAACCAGAAGCAACUACUCAAAUUUUGCCAGCACCUUUAUAUGCCUGCACAUAUCAGAUUAAACUAACAUGGUAUUUAACAGGGUCCAUGAUAUAUCUGGUGUUUGCAUGUCAGCCAAUAUGGUCAGAUAACAUACUAGGGUUGCCCCACACAAAUGAACAAUUUGGGCCCCUCAUGCAUCCAUGUCAUUCCACAUAAGAACCACUGUCCAAAAUGGUAUGCUCUAGUUUGCAAAUAUUAAAAUGACCAAGUUUUGGACUAUCAAUAAUUUAGAUGCAACAACGUAAAAGAUUCCAAACCAGAACAACACAUAAGCAUGAUUAAUGUAUACCCAAAAGCUUAAAAUCCCCAAGCAGCAUAGAAAUUUAAGAACAAAGAGGCUCAAUUUGUCUGCUACAGGCAAUAACUUACCUAAUAGUUUCUAUUGAUUUUUCAGAUGCUCCUCAACUCCUUGCAAUUCCUUGAUCUUUUUGUGAUAUUUGCAAAUGUGGUUAAUGCACCUGACACCCAAUGGAAGCAAAAUUAUCCGUCAUAUCGAACUCAUAAAGCUGUAUGUGCACCACCAAGCGGAACACUUGUAUGGCUUGGAAGAAAUGCCACCAUGAUAUCAGAAUAAUAUUAACAACACGUUACAGGAUAAACAAAACAUGUGAAAUUUACCAUUAAUUAUUAGAAAUAUAUCAUUCAUUUUGAAAAAUUACGCCCAGAUUCUUGACAUAUAUCUAUCAUGUUAGCAUCCAUUUAGAAUAUUCAAGUUAACUGUUUCACUAACAUCAGUUAGUUUUAAGCAAGGUAGGCAAUACCGAAUAAUACCGCUCGGUAUGGGCGGUACGUACCGGUCCAACGGUAUACCGGUACGCAGACCGUUCGUUACCGGACGGAACGAAUAAUAAUAAUAAAAUAAAAUUAUAUAUAUAUAUAUAUAUAUAUAUAUAAACGAGACGACGUCGCCCCACGUGGGGAAGGAAAAGGUGACGUCGCCGAGGCGAUGCGACGUCGACUUAUAUAUAUAUAUAUAUAUACCGUACCGUACCGUACCGUACCGAGCGAACGUUGAAACGCCGGUACGGUAUGAUAUUUCGAACCUUGAUUUUAAGUUCUAAAGAAUAAUAUAAAGCAUUAAGUUACCUAAAAUGCUCUUGACAUAUUAUAAUGAGUUUUUAAAGGGUAACUUUCAUCAACAGUAAUUCCAAUUAACAGUCAAUUGACAUAAAUUAGCUAUAACCGCAUACACAUCACUUUCAAAUUUUGCAGAAAUAUGUAUAUAUACUAAACUGAAAUUUAGUAAAACAAAUAUGAAAAUAUGCAAUUUAAAUUUUUUUUUCCCCUUAUUUUGUCUCCACUAACAGGAGCACAAAUAGGUGUAUUCGAGUGACACAUACCUCAUUGCUUGCAGAGUUGAUCAUGUUACACGAGUCAUUUGCUCACCAGCCAUUAUGCCAUGAAUACACCACUCUAAACAAGCUUCUUAUGUAAAAUGGCCUUCUAUCUGCAUAGAGUUUACCAAGUCUUCCUCAAAUAGAGCUAAGUUACAAGUACUCCUAAAGGGGGGGGAGUGAUAUAAAUACCACAAACUCAGCAAGCAACGAAAUGUUUUUGUACUUCCAAGCAAGGUAAAGAAGCAACUAGUAGAAUACAUAAUGCAUCAUGUUUAGGAGUUCAAGAAUCUACCGAAAAAUAAGAUAAAGGUCAUAAAACUAUCCAAGAACUUGAUAAAGCAUGAUUGGUGAUAGGGAGUACGCCGUCAGCCAAUAGUUAUCUGAUACACAACCGUCAAGUGGUGUCUAGGAUGAAAAGAGAAGACAAAGCCACCCUCCACCCAUCUGCCCACAUGAGCAAGGAUCCAAGAUAGACAAUUACGGGUUAUCUCCCUUUGUUACUUACAUGAACAAGAUACCAAAGAAAGACUGUUGAAGAUAGUUAGAGAGUACCUUCCCGUAAAAUAUUUUAUGAAAUAUCCUAACCCUUUUCAAUCGAUAUAAAAGUUUAUUUUAAACAUAAUGAGAGAAGGCCUUACUUUGACUAUCGACGUCCGCACUAGUACCAAAAUCUCUUCCAACCUCGGUCUUCAAUUGACACCUCGGGAGCUUAAGGUUUUUAUCUCGGAGGAUAUCACUGCCGACUGCCCAGGUCCAGACUGUAAAUGAUACCUUCCCUCAUCAAUUGAGAGCAACGGAAAUCACACUUGCCACAUGUGAUCGAUGAUAUCUUCGAAUUGGGAACCUAAAUCAUCCCCAUGCUGCUCCUCGAAACCGCCUUUUUGCACUCCUGAAACUGCGAACAAAUUCAACCAAGAAAGCAACAGGAGGUCGAAUCUUUCCACGCCAUUCGAACCGUAGCUACGACGUACUUGAACUACGGCGAUGUCAGAGGACGAAAGAGACCGCGGGCUAGGGUUUCAUCUCGGAGGCAGGCUUCCCACCAAAGAUUAGGCGAGAUAUAGGACAAGAGAGAAGAGAGGAUGACGGCGGCGUACCGAGAAAGGCUCGUGUGGCUUCUCCGGUGCGAAAUCGUCGUACAUCACGAACACUGUAUCGGGUGGGGGACGGUGACGAGGGGAAGCGCAAAACCAUCGGUGGACCAAUAGGUUUCACGGGCUAAGGAUCCAUUUGUUAUUGGGCGUUACUAAUGGCCCAUUAUAUAUAAAUUGGGGUUAAUUAAGACCCGGGCUAAGGAUCCAUUUGUACUGAGCUUACUGUUGCUGUCAAUUUAAUAUAGUCAAUUCCAAAUAAUUACAACUUGCUGUUGUUGCCGUACUCGAACGAUUGAGACUUCGUGUCUGAAUAUAAAUAAAAAUAUAAAACAAGGCUGUUGAUCACGUGAUCUCCUCAAGAAAUAAUAAUGUAAUAACGUGGAAUCGGAACUCCGUCAAAACCCAUCCAAACGCCAUUCGAAUCCAUUGCUCCACCAAAUGAUUCAGCAAACCGUUAUUUCAUUGGGGUUGCACCAACUUUGCUGUCGACCAAUCGACAGCUGAUCGUUCCACAUACCGCGAGACAAGUUAGUCCGCCUUUGAACGAUCACAAGGCGGCGGAGAAUUCCCUUUCCGAGACGUCAUCCAAUCGAAAUGGAAGGAGGACCGACGAAGGGGCCUUCCAGUUGCCGCGACGCCCGGUGAAUCUUACCGGCCUCCUGCGAUUUUGUCAAAGCCGUCGAAUCCGACGGUGGAGUAUGCAAUGGUCGGUAAGGUAAUCUCACGGGGGUGACUUGACUCCCGUUCGUUCGUUCGUUCAUGGUGAGUCAGCCGUCGAGUCAACGGUCCAACCGCCGUUCGUUCUCCAUUCGAUUAUAAUACCAUGCCCAAGAGAGCAACCCCAUCUCGAGCCCUGAAACCAUGGUUCCUCUGCUAGCAGUAUUCUCCCUUGUGCUGCUUGUCAUCAGCAACCACUCACCGGCGACAGCCGAACGACUCAGCUCCUUCUCCGCCGCCGACUCUCCAUGGUUUCCCUCCCAGGACCGCAUCCUGGUCUCCCAAAACCAAACCUUUGCAGCCGGCUUCCUCAGUCCCCCCUCUUCCUCCGGCCGGUUCAUCUUCGCCGUCUGGGUCCAGAAGUCGAUCGAUCGGACCAUCGUUUGGUCCCUCGGCGGCGACAUCGUCAACUCGUCUGCUCUGGCCAUCUCGUCCCUCGGUGUCCUUUCCCUUAACGACUCCUCCGGCCGUAACCUCUGGCCAGCCGCCGGUGGAGCCUCUAAUUCUUCCCAACUGGUCGUCCAUGACGAUGGCAGCCUGGUCCUCGGCAAUUGGAGUUCCUUUGACUUCCCGACCGAUACCAUCCUCGCCAACCAGAUGGCGCCUUCGAACGGGAAUGGGACGACGCUGAGGUCGGGGAACUUCCAGCUUGUUGGUGCCAAGUCCCUCGUGUUUAACGGCACCGAUAACUACUGGAACGCGUCGGACAUCAUCCUCAACCUCACAUCGGACGGGCAACUGGUCAUGGAAAACGGCAAAGGAGUUAUUGCAGCCGACAAAGGGAAAAUCGUUCUCCGGAGGCUCACGCUCGACCCUGACGGCAAUUUUAGGAUCUACAGUCUUGAUGCAAGCUCGGGAAGGUGGCAGGUGGUCUGGCAAGCGGUGCUGGAGCUCUGCACCAUCCAUGGCACUUGCGGCACCAACGAGAUCUGCAUGCCCGACGGCUUCAACGCCACCAAGUGUGUGUGCCCACCAGGCUACCAAAACAGCACACGCAGCAAUUCCUGCGAACGGAAGAUAAAGCUCUUGUCUCCCAGCAAAUUCCUGAGGCUGGACUUCGUGAGCUUCUACCAGGGAUCGAACACUGCAGAUCUGACGCCGCGUAAUCUCGACGACUGCAGAUCGACAUGCGCGAACAACGGCAGCUGCAUCGGCUUCAGCUACAAGUUCGACGGCCGGCAGACCUGCAUCAACCAUUUCAAUCGAUUCGCCAACGGGUAUUGGUCUCCAGGGAGUGAGAUGUCAACGUUCCUUCGGGUGGCAAGGUCCGAAACAGAUCAAUCCAACUUCACGGUGAUGACCUCCUCGAUCGACACGGUGUGCCCUGUUCAGAUCAGUCUCCCCUUACCGCCUAAAGAGUCGAAGACCACCCUCAGAAACGCGGCCAUCAUCAGCACCCUGUUCGCGCUGGAGCUCCUGGCCGGAGUCCUAUCGUUCUGGGCAUUCCUCCGGAAGUAUUCCAAGUACAGAGACAUGGCCCAUACACUGGGGUUGGAGUACAUGCCCGGCGGAGGGCCAAAGCGCUUCUCUUACGCAGAACUGAAGGCCGCAACAAAUGACUUCUCGAACGUGGUCGGCCAUGGCGGAUACGGUGUGGUCUACAAGGGGGAACUCCCUGAUCGCCGCGUCAUCGCCGUCAAACGCCUCAAGAACAUCGGCGGCGCGGAAGCAGAAUUUUGGGCCGAGGUGACGAUCAUCGCCAGGAUGCAUCAUCUGAACCUGGUCCGGCUGUGGGGCUUCUGUGCCGAAAAGGAGCAGCGAAUGCUCGUCUACGAGUACAUUCCCAAUGGCUCCCUCGACAAGUACCUCUUCUCCCCAUCCACCGGAGUCGACGAAGGCUCGGGCGAGGACAAGAUUGACGACCCAAGGAGAGAGUUAGUUCCUCCAAGACCUCUGCUCGAUUGGAACAUCAGAUACAGGAUCGCCAUGGGGGUCGCUCGCGCCAUAGCGUACCUCCACGAGGAGUGCCUCGAGUGGGUACUGCACUGCGACAUCAAACCGGAGAACAUACUGCUCGAGGACGAUUUCUGCCCAAAAGUGUCAGAUUUCGGCCUGUCGAAGCUGACGAACAAGAAGGACAAGGUGACCAUGUCGCGAAUCAGGGGGACGCGAGGCUACCUGGCGCCGGAGUGGGUGAUUCAACGGGAGCCGAUCACCGCAAAGGCCGACGUCUACAGCUUCGGCGUGGUGCUUCUGGAGAUCGUGAGUGGGGUCAGGAGCUCAGAGUUCCAGCGGUCGUCGCUGGAGAGCGAAGACUGGUACAUGCCCAAGUGGGCGUUCGAGAAGGUGUAUGUGGAGCAGAGGAUCGAGGACAUCCUCGAUCGCCACAUCAUGGAUUCCUAUGACAACCGCGCCCACUUCGAGCUGGUGGAUCGAAUGCUUAAGACAGCCAUGUGGUGCUUACAGGACCGAGCGGAGAUGAGGCCGUCGAUGGGGAAGGUGACCAAGAUGCUUGAGGGCACCGUGGAGAUCACAGAGCCUGGGAAGCCCACCAUCUUCACAUGCUAAUCACUGCGCAGAGUAUUAUACUACUUGGAAAGCAAGGCUGUUUGUGUGCAUGUCUACGCACGUAUUUCAAUAAGCAGACACUGAAAAUUUUAUGUUGAGAUUUAAAUUCUAAUUUCAUCUUAGUUUCUUCUUGUUUUUAUAGUUUUAGGUCUAUUUGAGAAAAGAUUAAUUGUAUGCCCUCCUCUCGCUCAUAUCGUGUGGAUCCUCAAGUCAACACCCAAAUUGACAUCAUGUCACCAAAAAGUUUGGUCUUCAAGCACUAAAACUCAUCAGAGUUCUUCAGAAAAUAAAAGGUCGCUGCCAAAAGGAGUAGUAUUUCGUCUAGAAUUAAUGGUAAGAAACAGCGAAAAGGACUACCAGGAGUUCUUGAGUGGCUUCUGCAGCAGGGCGGAGAUGUACAUCUCCCGCAGCUCGAGGCCCCUGUCCAGCUUCCUGCCCACCUCCCACCGGAGCUUCUUGAAGCCGACGCGGUCGAUGACGGGCACAUACUCGCCCAUCUGAGGCUCCACGAAGAAGAAGUGGUCGAGCCAGAAGAGGCCGCCGGGGCGCAGCACCCGGUAGAUGUCGAAGAGGAUGAAGUGGAGCAGGGUGGUGGGGAUCCAGUUGCUGAGCACGUGCAUGGAGUGCACCAGGUCGAGGGUGUUGUCGAAGAAGGGCAGCCGCUGCGAGACGCUCAGGUAGAGCGGCACCACCCCGCGGGCGGCCAUGAAGCUGCUGAAGGGCCCGUUGAGGUUCAUGGUGGUGGAGACGAUGGUGACGUUGCGUUCCCGCAUGCGGACGGCGAAGGUUCCGGAGCCGCCGCCGAUGUCGAGGCCGAUGCGCACUGAGCCGACGGGGUCGGCCGCCUGGAGGACCUCGUCGAUGGAGAAGUCGAGGGGGUUGUCGGAGGGGGCCACCCAGCGGAGCCGCUCGCGGCUGCCGUCGAGGAUGUCGAAGCAGUCCUUGCAGUCGUCGAAGGAGGGGGAGCGCUUGCGGUCCACGAGGCAGCGGAAGGACUUGCAGGAGUAGGCGGACCAGUGGAUGGAGCGGUCCGGGGGGAGCGACCAGAGGGCGGCCGGGUGGGGGAGGGGCGAGGCGGGGUCCGGUGGCGCGGCGGGACGGCAGCGGCGCCGUGGGAGGGGCUCGCAGCCUCGGAGGAGGAGGCGCUGGGCCAGGGGCUCGUCGUCAGGGCAGGAGCCGUUGACGGGGUAGGACAUGAAGGCGGCGAGAUCGUCGGGGAAGAGAGGGCAGGCCAGCCCCGCGGGAGGGUGGAUCUCCGCGGAGUCCAUGUUGGGGUUGUGGCCGAAGGGAAGGGGCUGCGCGGAGGUGAAGGCCACGAACUCUGCCGGCAGAGAAGCAUCGGCAUUACUGGAGGAAGCAGAAGAAGAAGCAGAUGCUGCAGUCGUAGCACAUGCAGCAACAGUAGUAGUAGUAGAAGAAGGACAAGGAGGGCAUGAAGAAGAGGAAGAGGAGAAGAGAAGGAAAGUGAGGAGGUUGGAGAAGAGGAGGACAAAGAGGCAGAGAAGGUUGCUGAAGCGGUGGUGGGAACGGGAGGAGUCCAUUGAAGAGGAAGGAGAACGGAGGUGGCAAGGGAACCUUCUCUCUUAGUCUGUGCUCGAUUAAUAUCUUCUGCAGCAGCAGGGUCUACUACUCACGAAAAAGAGAAGUAGAGUCCGAGUAAAAAAGUCAAGAUCUACUACUCACAAAGAGGAGGCUUGCAUUAGUUUGAGAAGCUUACAGUCUUAAAAAGAGAGAUGGAUUCGACGUGAGGACGACGUUGAAGAAUAGCACUAGUUUUAUAUGAAUAGUGUGGCGUGCAAACUAAGAAAAUACAAAUAAUAAGAAGAAGAAGAAUAGAAAUGACGCCAGCAGAGACAAACUACAUCCCUCCAACUACAGUCCCACUCCACCGUCACAAUACCUUUCAAAUAAAAAAGGGCAUGACGCCUAUCCACAUAAAGAGUCUGUGCUCCAAUAACACGUUGUUGUUUCCUAUUCACAUGACACCUACAGGGCUUCACUCUUUUGAGUUCAAUGACACUAUCUGAACUAUGCUCGAGCAUCAUGAGUUGGCCAAAGCUUCCAAUUAGACAAUAGAAAAUCAAUCCUUGAACAUACUCUAACUUGAGAAACACUAGCUGUAAACACAUGAAGGAAGCAUAAAACAAAUCUAAGAACAACCAAUUAGAGAGUGUAGCACACAAAUCUGGAAUUACAUUCUAUUCACAUCCUUGGAAAAGAAGAGAUAAAAACAAGAUAUUAAAAAGAACACACUACUGAGGCGACUCGCAAGGUGCUGAAUAGCAAGGACACACCAGGCUAUACAAACAAAUAAGACACUGGCCUACCAAAAUACAGGUCGUGGAGUUAGCAAUCCAAAGCAUCACUUCCAGUAGCCAACUGCCCUCGAAGUCAGCUGCAGACGGACCUCAUUCGCCAGAUGAGCUCCCUAACAAAGUGUUGCAAGGUCGUCCGUCUGGUGUUAAUUCCAGUUUAAAAGAUCAACCCUGGAAAUACAAAAAAGGAAGAGGCGGGGGGGNNN
rnacentral:lncRNA from 1 species